GAUGAACGCUGGCGGCGUGCCUAAUACAUGCAAGUCGAGCGAACAGACGAGGAGCUUGCUCCUCUGACGUUAGCGGCGGACGGGUGAGUAACACGUGGAUAACCUACCUAUAAGACUGGGAUAACUUCGGGAAACCGGAGCUAAUACCGGAUAAUAUAUUGAACCGCAUGGUUCAAUAGUGAAAGACGGUUUUGCUGUCACUUAUAGAUGGAUCCGCGCCGCAUUAGCUAGUUGGUAAGGUAACGGCUUACCAAGGCAACGAUGCGUAGCCGACCUGAGAGGGGGAUCGGCCAAACUGGAACGGGGAAACGGUCAAGACUCCAAGGGGAGGCAGCAGUAGGGAAUCUGCCGCAAUGGGCGAAGGCCUGACGGAGCAACGCGGGGGGAGGAAUGAAGGUUUUCGGAUCGUAAAACUCUGUUAUUAGGAAAGAAAAAAGGUGUAAGUAACGAUGAAGGUCUGGACGGUACCAAAUAAGAAAGCCAGGGCUAACUACGU
rnacentral:rRNA from 1 species